rnacentral:RNase_P_RNA from 1 species
AGAGCCGAUCAUGUGGUUGCCUCAUCUACUUAUUGGUAAAUGGGGAGGAAAGUCCGAACACCGCAGGACAGGAUGCCUCCUAACAGGAGGGGUCUCAAUAUUAUUUGAGAUACGGAAAGUGCAACAGAGAGUAAACUAUCCCAUUUUGGGGAUACAGGUGAAACGGUGGUUUAAAAGACCACCAGUCAUUGAUGAGAAUUGAUGAGCUAGGUAAACCCCAUCCGGUGCAAGACCGAGUAGAAGAGCAUGAGGUUGUCCGCCUCAUUAUGACUCUUGGGUAGGUUGCGUGAUCUCUUCCGUGAGGAAGUGACCAGAUGAAUAAUCACAAUUCCGAUAUUUCGGAAUACAGAAUUCGGCUUAUAGAUCGGCUCUGAAU